rnacentral:rRNA from 1 species
GCUUGCUGGGCGGAUUAGUGGCGAACGGGUGAGUAAUACGUGAGUAACCUGCCCUUGACUCUGGGAUAAGCCUGGGAAACUGGGUCUAAUACUGGAUACUACCGUCCACCGCAUGGUGGGUGGUGGAAAGGGUUUUACUGGUUUUGGAUGGGCUCACGGCCUAUCAGCUUGUUGGUGGGGUAAUGGCUCACCAAGGCGACGACGGGUAGCCGGCCUGAGAGGGUGACCGGCCACACUGGGACUGAGACACGGCCCAGACUCCUACGGGAGGCAGCAGUGGGGAAUAUUGCACAAUGGGCGGAAGCCUGAUGCAGCGACGCCGCGUGAGGGAUGACGGCCUUCGGGUUGUAAACCUCUUUCAGUAGGGAAGAAGCGAGAGUGACGGUACCUGCAGAAGAAGCGCCGGCUAACUACGUGCCAGCAGCCGCGGUAAUACGUAGGGCGCAAGCGUUGUCCGGAAUUAUUGGGCGUAAAGAGCUCGUAGGCGGUUUGUCGCGUCUGCUGUGAAAGCCCGGGGCUCAACCCCGGGUCUGCAGUGGGUACGGGCAGACUAGAGUGCAGUAGGGGAGACUGGAAUUCCUGGUGUAGCGGUGAAAUGCGCAGAUAUCAGGAGGAACACCGAUGGCGAAGGCAGGUCUCUGGGCUGUUACUGACGCUGAGGAGCGAAAGCAUGGGGAGCGAACAGGAUUAGAUACCCUGGUAGUCCAUGCCGUAAACGUUGGGCACUAGGUGUGGGG